UUGAUCAGUUACAGGGAAAAAGGCGAAGCGCAGUCUAAUUGUAACUUUCCCCAAAUGAGAAGCGAGAGAAGGCCAAAAGUCUCGUGGCAAGCUUACUUUGCCAGACUGAUCAUCUUCGGGGCUGUUUUGAUGCGAUCCAGAACUUUCUACGAGAUCCAUUGCCAAAUCUGUUUCGUCAGGUCAGCCAUCGAAAACUCUUGGAGAAAACAUUUUAAGCAACAAGUGAUGACGUUACGUAGGCAUGGACUUAUUCAGCAAGCUUGAAGCACCUACUCUGUGUUGGAUACUUUAACCUCUUAAAUUCUCACAGCACAUCACACUAGUUUACAGACGAAGAAACUAGCCUCGGAGUGAUUGGGUAACCCGUCCGGAUCCUAAAGGGAAGGCACCUUGCAAACACCUAAGAGAAGUCACUCAGAGUAGGGGGAAAAUGAAUCAUCAAAACAGGACACUCUGCCGCUCGAAUGGAGAUGCCGUUCAUAAUUAAGAUCUCCGCUGGGACACAGGGCAUCGGCCAGACCAGUAUGGGAGAUCCACAUGGAGCAGGUAAUGUCGUGAGUGUCCGUAGACAGGAGAUGGGAGAUUUUGGCUUUGGAGACAUGAGGGGGUGGGGAUAUUGUCUCAAGUCAUAAGAGUGGCAUUCGAAUGGCACACAGUUGAAACAACAAUUGCCGAAAGGCGCCACACGCUUUCGCAACAUUGCUCUCCAAUUAUUCCCAGGGCCACAGCUAGAAGGGGGAUCAAUAUCACUAAAGACACAGAUUUGGAUAAACAUAAGUUAUGUGGAUUUUUUUUUUUAAUCUCUGCUGAGUUUUCUGUUAUAAAGCUUCCUUCACUAUCCUGAGAGAAGCAGUUUUCCCCAUUACUGAUGGAAAGUUAAGUCUCCUCAUAAGUAGGAUUUCCCUUCCAGAAAUUCAAAACGAGAAAAAGUAGCAGACCAUGCAGUUUUGUGCCAGCGAACAGCUUUUUCCAAAGAUUUGAACGGAAUAAUUUGUUUUUCAUGGUUUAUAAGUAGCAGAUAAAACCUACAUGGAAAAUCAGACAAGAAGAAAUGGAAAAUAAGACGCAGAAUCUGGAAUCGUAACCUUAAAAAGCAAUUUGUUUUAUUUCAGCCGUGCCCAGAAAGCACUUGAGGUUAACAAGUGAGUAUUUCUACUGGAAGAAUCGGUUACAAUCAGGUCACCAGCUUAGAGAAGACGUAGGCGGAAGUUUAGACACCAAGUCUAUCAUUUUAAACGUGCUUUGUCAGCAAAACUGUCAGGGACAGACUGUUGACUUAAAGUGAUUAUGAGAGGGUAAAAUAUCAAAGAGGAAGAUGAAGCGUUUGUGGAAAGGCCCCUCUUAAGAUCGGGAGCAGCCGAGGGUCUCCAUAUGACACGGUUGCGCAUUCCUUGGGGAGCAGGUUUUGAGCUCCUUGACUCCUUCCUACAUCAGUCUCAUGUGGAAAAAAAGAAAACCCAAAAACAAAACAGAAACUAGCUUCCUCUUGAAGUCCUUGCUCUUGGCUACAGAGACCCGGGCCACACAUUUAAUCUGGUGCAAAGUGUUGUUUAGGAUGACAGAGACAUGGUAAUACUCUUCUGCUUUCCCACUGCAAGCUGGGUGUGAAAAUCUGUAACAGUACUAUUCGAACUUCUCAUUGAACAAUCAACAACAAAUAAAAACCUAGAGCCCUCGACCCUGGCACCAAUGGACAGAUUCUGCGUGGGUCAUCUUAGCUCACCUGGGAAUGGAUUAUUUUUUUCCUAGAAGUUUAUUUGAGUCCGAAAGAUUUAAUUGUUAAUUCAGUGUCUAUUAUCGUCUUAUAUAGGUGCUUAAUAACGACUAGAGCUGACAAACCUUUGGAUCCAUAUGAGCUGUGGAAUUCAGAAGGAUAUUAUUUCCUGCUAUGUUAGUAACUGAGUUUUUGCAGUGGGUUUUACUUGGUAGCUCAUUUGAUCCAUUUGGUUUGAUCAUUUAGAUGUUUCAAGCCACCAAAUAUGGCCUUAAGUUUCACAAAUGUUGUGUCUAUUUCCUUAGCAACCAAAUGGUUCUGAGACCUGUUUUUUUUUUUUUUUUUAUCUGUAGGUCAUUGCCAUCACUACAGGGGGAACGCCCCCCUCAAACUUUUCUUCUUAAAUUGGAGCUGUUGCUUGAACAAAAGCCUGAAAGGAUGGGUCUUAGAAAAGCUGCUGAACACGCAGCUGUAACAUAAGGCUGAAGCGAUCCAUGUCAACAGUUAGCUGGGUGCAUUCAUUGGUUUGUGUCUGUGUUGAAGACAGCCUGUAGACGGAAGGCACUUGGUUUUAGCCCUAGACCAUUCAGUGCCUUGUUCCAUUUCCUUUACCACAUGCAUGUUAGUGUUUAUCUCUUUGAAUCAUUAGAACUAUAAAAUGCUGUCCCUUUUCCUAUCAAAGAUUUGAAAAAUAUCUUUUGCCACGCGGUAGGUAUAGAGAAUUCUUUUGGACACAGACUUUUAAAUCCAGUCUUCCCAUGGAACUACCAUUGAUAUCAGAUAUUAAGAUGAAGACAGUUUACUGUUCAUGGAAGUGUAGCUCUCAGGAGGGCCCAAGGUCAUCCCAAGGCUCAGUUGUAAAAUCAGAAGAUACUAGUGUGUGUGUGUGCGUGUGGGUGUGCGCGCGUGCCUGUGUGUGUGCACAUGUGAGACAGAGAGAGAGGGAGAGAAGGAGAGAGAGAUUGGGUUGGGAAAGGUACCAUCCACUGGAUGUUUAGCCUCAUUGUCACGUUUUUCUUCUUUAUGACUAAAAGAAUCAAGCUCAUGGAAAAAAAUUUGAUCAUGUCUCCAUUUUUCAAAAUCUGGCGUGAAUUCAGAGAAGCUAAGUCAUCUGCCAAGAACUUUACAGCCAAGAGGUGGUAGAACCAAGAUGCGAAGUCAGGUUGGCCCGUUGCCAAAGUCUAGUACGCUAUAUGCUGUUUCCCAAGGAACAUUCUAAGAACCGAGUUCUUUUCCCGCUUGCAGAUGUCAGGUAGGCUGCUCAGGUAGAAGGUGCUAAGUGCAGAUAUUGUCAACGGCAAGUGAGUGAGGUAGAAUUCGGGGGAGAUUAAAGCUUUCCUGGACACCCGAAUUACAUCCUAGGCAUAGGUCCUGUCUCUCAAUAUGGCUUCUAGAAAUAUUAAGCAUCAGAAGCUCUAGUGAUGGUGUGAAUCAUAGGAAGUGCUAAGCUAAAAUACUGAAUGAGUCAUUCUUUCUGGAAACAAUGGCAUUUAUGUCUCUAAAACUCUUGGUGGACUUCUGCAGAUGGGGUAGAAUAAAAACUAUUUAAAUUUCACCACUACUACCUACUGCUAAACACUAAAAUAAACGUACUGCUAUUAAUACAAAAUAGCUUUCCCUUUUUGAAAAGUUGUUAUCAACACGUUGAAUUAUUUGCUUAUCAAAACACUGAAUAGCAUGCCACACGCCUUCUGGGUGUAAAAUAAAUGUUAAUGACAAUAAAUAUAGUGGUACCCGA